AUGAGUGCGGCUGAGCCCACCGCUCUCUGUCCUUCCUCCCCAGGGCUGCGGGCGGCCGCCACGUUGGACAAGUCCGGAGGGGGCCGUGUGAAGCCCGGAGGGUCCCUGACCCUGGUCUGCAAGGCCUCCGGAUACACCUUCAGCAGCUACUACAUGCUUUGGGUGCGACAGGCACCAGGGAAGGGGCUCGAGUUCGUCGCAGAUAUUAGCAACCUUGGUAGUUUAACAGAGUACUUGCCGGCGGUGCAGGGACGCUUCACCAUCUCCAGGAACAACGGGCAGAGCACGGCCACCCUGCAGAUGAACAGCCUCAAGGCCGAAGACACCGCCACCUACUACUGCUUGGAAGAACCUGCUGGUGGGUGGGGUGAGUUGUGUCAGGACCUGUCCCUGGGCCAUGAACAAUGUCAGCAGCACCACCAAUCUCAUAAGCAUAACCAUAACCACCACCACUACCAUCAGUUUUCGCGCAGUAGUAGGUGGCGGUGUCCUCGGCCUUGAGGCUGUUCAUCUGCAGGGUGAGCGUGCUCUGCCCGUUGUUCCUGGAGAUGGUGAAGCGUCCCUUGACCACUGACGUGUAACCUGUGCUACUACCACUGCUGCUAAUAGUAGCGACCCACUCAAGCCCCUUCUU